rnacentral:rRNA from 1 species
CCCUUAGAUGUUCUGGGCCGCACGCGCGCUACACUGAUGCAUUCAACGAGUCUAAAACCUGCUCUGAUAGGGGUGGGUAAUCUUUUGAAUGUGCAUCGUGAUUGGGAUAGAUGAUUGCAAUUUUUCAUCUUCAACGAGGAAUGCCUAGUAAACGCAAGUCAUCAGCUUGCAUUGAUUACGCCCCUGCCCUUUGUACACACCGCCCGUCGCUCCUACCGAUUGAAUGAUCCGAUGAAUAUCAUGGAUUGAGGAUGCAAGUAGGUUCGCCUAUCUUCAUCUUCGAGAAGUGAAGUAAAUCUUAUCAUUUAGAGGAAGGAGAAGUCGUAACA